CCUGAUCCAGCAAUGCCGCGUGUGUGAAGAAGGCCUUCGGGUUGUAAAGCACUUUUGUCCGGAAAGAAAUCCUUGGCUCUAAUACAGUCGGGGGAUGACGGUACCGGAAGAAUAAGCACCGGCUAACUACGUGCCAGCAGCCGCGGUAAUACGUAGGGUGCGAGCGUUAAUCGGAAUUACUGGGCGUAAAGCGUGCGCAGGCGGUUUGCUAAGACCGAUGUGAAAUCCCCGGGCUCAACCUGGGAACUGCAUUGGUGACUGGCAGGCUAGAGUAUGGCAGAGGGGGGUAGAAUUCCACGUGUAGCAGUGAAAUGCGUAGAGAUGUGGAGGAAUACCGAUGGCGAAGGCAGCCCCCUGGGCCAAUACUGACGCUCAUGCACGAAAGCGUGGGGAGCAAACAGGAUUAGAUACCCUGGUAGUCCACGCCCUAAACGAUGUCAACUAGUUGUUGGGGAUUCAUUUCCUUAGUAACGUAGCUAACGCGUGAAGUUGACCGCCUGGGGAGUACGGUCGCAAGAUUAAAACUCAAAGGAAUUGACGGGGACCCGCACAAGCGGUGGAUGAUGUGGAUUAAUUCGAUGCAACGCGAAAAACCUUACCUACCCUUGACAUGGUCGGAAUCCUGCUGAG
rnacentral:rRNA from 6 species